rnacentral:ncRNA from 2 species
GGCUCUAUUGAAAGGGAUGGUUCCCUUCCGAGGGAUCAAAAGGGAAUGCGGUGAGCGCCGGCGACGGCGCGAAGCCGCGGCUGCCCCCGCAACUGUGAGCGGCGAGCCGAGGAUCAAACGAGCCACUGGAGCAGACGCUCCGGGAAGGCGAUCCGAAGGCGCUGACCCGCGAGCCAGGAGACCUGCCAUCAGUCGUGGUCACGC